AACGCACAUUGCGCCCGCUGGUAUUCCAGCGGGCAUGCCUGUUCGAGCGUCAUUUCAACCCUCAAGCUUCCGUGCUUGGUGUUGGGGCCUAGCCUGUCCAAGGGCUAGCCCUGAAAUCCGGUGGCGGGCUCACCAAGACACCGAGCGUAGUAAUUUUUCUCUCGCUUAGGUUGGAUUGGUGGUGCCUGGCCGUAAAACCCCUCUAUGGCUUCUGAAAGUUUGACCUCGGAUCAGGUAGGAAUACCCGCUGAACUUAA
rnacentral:misc_RNA from 1 species